rnacentral:rRNA from 1 species
GGGCCCGCACAAGCGGUGGAGCAUGUGGUUUAAUUCGAUGCAACGCGAAGAACCUUACCAGGGUUUGACAUCCUGCGAAUCUCUUGGAAACGAGAGAGUGCCUUCGGGAACGCAGUGACAGGUGGUGCAUGGCUGUCGUCAGCUCGUGUCGUGAGAUGUUGGGUUAAGUCCCGCAACGAGCGCAACCCACGUCUUUAGUUGCCAGCGAGUCAUGUCGGGAACUCUAACAAGACUGCCGGUGCAAACCGUGAGGAAGGUGGGGAUGACGUCAAAUCAUCACGGCCCUUACGUCCUGGCUACACACGUGCUACAAUGGUCGGUACAGAGAGCAGCCACUACGCGAGUAGGAGCGAA